rnacentral:lncRNA from 1 species
CGGAAAGUCAGUCUCAACUGGACCUUUCUGCACUCAACAUGCACAAGAUGGUGAUCGUUUGGUUGUCUGUUUUACUUCUUGUGGUGGUUGCUAUGGCCGAUCCUGGGUAUGGUGGCUAUGGAUAGUACGAAGACUACGGCCAAGGACACGAUGACUACGGCCAUGGCGGUCGUGGUGGAUAUGGCGGUCGUGGUCAUUACUCCUAUGGCCAAGGUGGACGUGGCGGUCGUGGUGAUUAUGACUACGGAGGCUUUGGUGAUUCUCUACCAUGGAGGACAAGGUUAUGCUCAUGGGGGUUACUGUGAAGGUUACAGAGGAUACGGUGACUAUGGACGUUAUUGAUAUGGUCGUAAGGAAAACGCCAAGGAAUUUAUAAACCUUGAAAAAUAAAAAUUCUUGUGCUUC